rnacentral:lncRNA from 1 species
AGCUCUCUCAGCCUGUCCUCAUAGGAGAGGUGUUCCAUCCCUUGGAUCAUUUUUAUGGCCCUCUUCUGGACACACUCGAGCAGGUCCAUGUCCCUCCUGCACCGAGGACUCCACAUCUGGAUGCAGUACUCCAGCUUACAGAGAACCAGAGGGAGAAGAGAGGCAGCAGAUGAACGGAGCUACAGUAACCUCUAAUCCAUCCCUCAGAUACAGCGACUACACCUAAAAUGCAGGAAGAUCUAAUGGGUG